rnacentral:rRNA from 1 species
UACAGAGGUGGCAAGCGUUGUUCGGAAUUACUGGGCGUAAAGGGCGCGUAGGCGGUCGAUUAAGUCCCGUGUGAAAUCCCUCGGCUCAACUGAGGAACUGCACGGGAAACUGGCUGACUUGAGUUCGGGAGAGGGAAGCGGAAUUCCGGGUGUAGCGGUGAAAUGCGUAGAUAUCCGGAGGAACACCGGUGGCGAAGGCGGCUUCCUGGACCGAUACUGAUGCUGAGGCGCGAAAGCUAGGGGAGCAAACGGG